ACAGUGUAGAAAUACUGAGCGAUGAGUGUGGAUAGUUGUUAAAGAACAACUAGUACUGAGUGUGACCAUACAAGAGAUCACUUAGAUUUCUACUCAAUUGUCAGUGAUCGUCUCGAUACUGUAGUUGUAUGAAUGAUCCUUUGAUCUGUGAUGGUAUUAUUGCUCACAAUAAAACUACUGAAGUUUGACUGACACAUAAAUAUAACCUCG
rnacentral:lncRNA from 1 species